rnacentral:rRNA from 1 species
AUGAAGUUUGAAACUGUCAUGGGGGAGCAAGGCUACAAGAAGUGUAGCUCAGACCAUUGUGUGUUUAUUCAGAGGUUCUCAGGUGAUGAUUUCAUCAUAUUAUUGCUCUAUCUUGAUGAUAUCAUGAUUGUUGGAAAGAAUGUCUCUAGGAUUGCUAAGUUGAAAAAGGAGUUGAGCAAAUGUUUUGCUAUGAAAGACUUAGGUCCAGCAAAGAACAUUCUCGGAAUGAGAAUUGAGCGAGACAGAAAUUGCAACAAGUUGUACUUGUCUCAAGAGAAGUAUAUUGAGAAAGUACUUCCGAAGUUCAGGAUGGAAAAUGCUAAAGUUGUGAGCUGUCCACUAGCAGCCCAUUUCAAGUUGAGCAGAAAGCAAUGUCCUACCACUGAUGAGCAGAAAAAGGAUGCAUAUGCUUCAGCGGUUGGGAGUUUGAUGUAUGCUAUGGUGUGUACAAGGCCUGACAUUGCUCAUGCGGUUAGUACUGUGAGCAGAUUUAUGUCCAAUCCAGGAAGACCUCAUUGGGAAGCCGUGAAGUGGAUUUUGAGAUAUCUUCGGGGUAGCACAAAUCUGAAACUUUGCUUCGGUGAUGGUGAGGCAAAGCUGAUUGCCUUUUCAGAUUCUGACAUGGCUGGAGAUGUUGACAGAAGGAAGUCUACUUCAGGUUACUUGGUUACCUAUGCAGGGGGAGCGAUGUCAUGGCAAAGCAGGCUGCAGAAGUGUGUGGCAUUGAAUACAACUGAAGAUGAAUUCAUUGUUGUAACAGAGGCGAGCAAAGAGCUAUUGUGGCUGAAACGGUUGGCUUGUGAGCUUGGUUUUAAGCAAGACAAGUAUGUGUUGUUUUGUGACAACCAAAGUGCUAUCCACUUGAGUAAGAAUGCAAGCUUUCAUUUAAGGUCUAAGCAUAUAGAAGUCUGUUAUCAUUGGAUUCGAGAUGUGUUGUAUUCUAAGAAAAUGUAA